GUCCAAAGUUGCACAAAAUUACCAUUGCUAAUGCAGAAGUAUGAACUACCACUUUAGAAUAUCGGAGCUGAAUGGAAGGAAUGUGGUUGCCCAACAGAGCCAGGUAAGUGUGAAACCAUUCAUAAACAUUUGAUACCUUAUCAAAGGACAGCACCAGGGGACUCCUGAUACCAUAGCCAUUACAUAGUGUAAAGGUAAACACGCUGUAAUUAUAG